AUUGAACGCUGGCGGCAGGCCUAACACAUGCAAGUCGAACGAGUGGCGGACGGGUGAGUAAUGUCUGGGAAACUGCCUGAUGGAGGGGGAUAACUACUGGAAACGGUAGCUAAUACCGCAUACCACAAAUGUGGCCACGUGGGGAUUAGCUAGUGGGGGGGGUAACGGCUCCCCAAGGCGACGAUCCCAAGCUGGUCUGAGAGGAUGACCAGCCACACUGGAACUGAGACACGGUCCAGACUCCUACGGUAGGCAGCAGUGGGGAAUAUUUCACAAUGGGCGCAAGCCUGAUGCAGCCAUGCCGCGUGUAUGAAGAAGGCCUUCGGGUUGUAAAGUACUUUCAGCGGGGAGGCGUUACCCGCAGAAGAAGCACCGGCUAACUCCGUGCCAGCAGCCGCGGUAAUUC
rnacentral:rRNA from 1 species